AUUGAACGCUGGCGGCAGGCCUAACACAUGCAAGUCGAGCGGAUGAAGGGAGCUUGCUCCUGGAUUCAGCGGCGGACGGGUGAGUAAUGCCUAGGAAUCUGCCUGGUAGUGGGGGAUAACGUCCGGAAACGGGCGCUAAUACCGCAUACGUCCUGAUGGAGAAAGUGGGGGAUCUUCGGACCUCACGCUAUCAGAUGAGCCUAGGUCGGAUUAGCUAGUUGGUGGGGUAAAGGCCUACCAAGGCGACGAUCCGUAACUGGUCUGAGAGGAUGAUCAGUCACACUGGAACUGGGACACGGUCCAGACUCCUACGGGAGGCAGCAGUGGGGAAUAUUGGACAGAGGGCGGAAGCCUGAUCCAGCCAUGCCGCGUGUGUGAAGAAGGUCUUCGGAUUGUAAAGCACGUUAAGUUGGGAGGAAGGGCAGUAAGUUAAUACCUUGCUGUUUUGACGUUACCAACAGAAUAAGCACCGGCUAACUUCGUG
rnacentral:rRNA from 1 species